GGACGAACGCUGGCGGCGUGCCUGAUACAUGCAAGUCGAGCGGACCGACGGGAGCUUGCUCCCUUAGGUCAGCGGCGGACGGGUGAGUAACACGUGGGUAACCUGCCUGUAAGACUGGGAUAACUCCGGGAAACCGGGGCUAAUACCGGAUGCUUGAUUGAACCGCAUGGUUCAAUCAUAAAAGGUGGCUUUUAGCUACCACUUGCAGAUGGACCCGCGGCGCAUUAGCUAGUUGGUGAGGUAACGGCUCACCAAGGCGACGAUGCGUAGCCGACCUGAGAGGGUGAUCGGCCACACUGGGACUGAGACACGGCCCAGACUCCUACGGGAGGCAGCAGUAGGGAAUCUUCCGCAAUGGACGAAAGUCUGACGGAGCAACGCCGCGUGAGUGAUGAAGGUUUUCGGAUCGUAAAACUCUGUUGUUAGGGAAGAACAAGUACCGUUCGAAUAGGGCGGUACCUUGACGGUACCUAACCAGAAAGCCACGGCUAACUACGUGCCAGCAGCCGCGGUAAUACGUAGGUGGCAAGCGUUGUCCGGAAUUAUUGGGCGUAAAGCGCGCGCAGGCGGUUUCUUAAGUCUGAUGUGAAAGCCCCCGGCUCAACCGGGGAGGGUCAUUGGAAACUGGGGAACUUGAGUGCAGAAGAGGAGAGUGGAAUUCCACGUGUAGCGGUGAAAUGCGUAGAGAUGUGGAGGAACACCAGUGGCGAAGGCGACUCUCUGGUCUGUAACUGACGCUGAGGCGCGAAAGCGUCGGGGAGCGAACAG
rnacentral:rRNA from 1 species